AUUUCGGAAUAUUGUUCUAAUAUUGCUGUCAUAUUACUGUUAGGUUCUUGUCUUAAUGACUCCCACUGUGAAUAUGCCACACAUUAUGAACUGCUUGUGUCCGAGGAUAUCAAAUUUCUUAAGCCCAGUGCUUUUGAACUAACUAGAAAAAUACUUUGAUUUUGUAAACAUUGAAUGUUUUCACUUGAAUGAUUAAAGGAUGCAAA
rnacentral:lncRNA from 1 species